rnacentral:rRNA from 1 species
GAUGAACGCUGGCGGCGUGCCUAAUACAUGCAAGUCGAGCGAGUGGAUUAAGAGCUUGCUCUUAUGAAGUUAGCGGCGGACGGGUGAGUAACACGUGGGUAACCUGCCCAUAAGACUGGGAUAACUCCGGGAAACCGGGGCUAAUACCGGAUAAUAUUUUGAACUGCAUGGUUCAAAAUUGAAAGGCGGCUUCGGCUGUCACUUAUGGAUGGACCCGCGUCGCAUUAGCUAGUUGGUGAGGUAACGGCUCACCAAGGCAACGAUGCGUAGCCGACCUGAGAGGGUGAUCGGCCACACUGGGACUGAGACACGGCCCAGACUCCUACGGGAGGCAGCAGUAGGGAAUCUUCCGCAAUGGAUGAAAGUCUGACGGAGCAACGCCGCGUGAGUGAUGAAGGCUUUCGGGUCGUAAAACUCUGUUGUUAGGGAAGAACAAGUGCUAGUUGAAUAAGCUGGCACCUUGACGGUACCUAACCAGAAAGCCACGGCUAACUACGUGCCAGCCGCCGCUGUAA